rnacentral:lncRNA from 1 species
CCUCAAAGGGGUUGUGUCCCAGAAGGUCGUGGGGCCUCGCGCCCCCCACGGGACCCUUUCCUCAGUCAGUUGAGCAUUCAAAGAGCAACUGUCAUUGCCUCCAGGCUUUUGCCCUGGGGCAGCUGAGCCCUCUCCACUGGUAGGCAGGCUGAGCCACCAGGGCAACGAAAGAUUGACAACUGUAAAGGAAAGGGUGAGGACAACAAGGGAGAUGAAAUCAAGCAGCCUCACUCAGGCUUCCCAGCUUGCCUUGUGCCGGGGUCCUGGAACUGAGCGAGGAGUUGGUGAAGACUCAGGAACAAAUCAGGGAAUUCCUCUAACAUGUUGGAUAGACUGACUGCCUAUGGCAAAUUCUUGGGAAAAUGAGGAAGAGAGUCACAAGAGAAGAAGAGAAGCAAGUAUGAACAGGUAGUUAAAAGCAUUUUUUAAGGAAAUUCCAAAAUUAACAUCCAGCUUCUGAUCAAAGAUCUACAUUCUUGGGAAUGUACUAUAUCUAAAAGAGAAAAUUCCAUUUUGAACAGUUUUCCUUGUUGGAAAAUUUUCCAUUGUAUCAAGUAAGCCCAAAGCUCUUGGUUUUUGUUGCUCCCAUUUAUCACUCCUAGUUCUGUAGACUAUCAGGAGCUAUGUCUUAUUUGGCUUUGAAUUAUAUCCAGCACCUAGUGCUUUGUAUUGAAUUGAAUCCAAUUGAAUGACUGAAUGAAUUAACAUCACUUUCUCAACUCAAAUGUAAGCUUCCUAAGAACAGAUGCAGCCUUAUACCUUCCAUAAAAACUUACCUUGUGUUAAGUACUCAACAACUAUUUGUUGAACAAAUGUUAAGCUUUCUUUCUUUUUUUAAAUAUAAUCUCUUAUUGGAUGAUCAAAGAGAAGAAAAAAAUGUAAAAUGCAAAUCAGUUUGAAGUCUUUUAAUACCAUACUUCACCACCGAAUGUAUGUAUUGUUUUAAACAAAUGCUCAAGUUUGAAGUUUAUUAUAUAUUUCUAGUUUUGGUUCAUGCAUUCCUGUUGUUAGAGGUAAGUGAAAGGUAGUAGUGGUUCACUGGGUUAGUGUUAGUUUGGGGUAGAAGUAAGGAUGAACCAAUGUCUUCGUUAAUUUACUCUAACAUGAAUAUGCAUAACAAUUUGUUCA